GAUGAACGCUAGCUACAGGCUUAACACAUGCAAGUCGAGGGGUAACGAGAGGAAAGCUUGCUUUCCUUGUCGACGACCGGCGCACGGGUGAGUAACGCGUAUCCAACCUGCCCCCAACUAGGGAAUAACCUUGCGAAAGUAAGACUAAUACCCUAUAAUUUCCUCAGAUGUCAUCUGACGAGGAAUAAAGAUUUAUCGGUUGUGGAUGGGGAUGCGUCUGAUUAGCUUGUUGGCGGGGUAACGGCCCACCAAGGCAACGAUCAGUAGGGGUUUGUGGAGGAAGGUCCCCCACAUUGGAACUGAGACACGGUCCAAACUCCUACGGGAGGCAGCAGUGAGGAAUAUUGGUCAAUGGGCGGAAGCCUGAACCAGCCAAGUAGCGUGCAGGAUGACGGCCCUAUGGGUUGUAAACUGCUUUUAUACAGGAAUAAAGUUAGCCACGUGUGGUUAUUUGUAGGUACUGUAUGAAUAAGGACCGGCUAAUUCCGUGCCAGCCGCCGCCGUAA
rnacentral:rRNA from 1 species